GCAAGUCGAACGGUCAUGCGUUUGUAGCAAUAUGAAUGUAUGAUAGUGGCGAACGGGUGAGUAACACGUGGAUAAUCUACCUCUAAGUGGGGGAUAACUCCGGGAAACUGGGGAUAAUACCGCAUAAUAUUUCGACAGGGCAUCUUGUUGAAAUCAAAGGAGCAAUUCGCUAAGAGAUGAAUCCGCGUCCCAUCAGCUAGUUGGUAGGGUAAUGGCCUCCAAGGCGACGACGGGUAGCCGGCUUGAGAGAGCGAUCGGCCACAAGGGGACUGAGACACGGCCCCUACUCCUACGGGAGGCAGCAGUAGGGAAUUUUGGUCAAUGGGGGAAACCCUGAACCAGCGACGCCGCGUGGGUGAUGAAAUCCUUCGGGAUGUAAAACCCUUUUCAUUGGGACGAAAUAAAAAUUACGGUACCAGUGGAAUAAGC
rnacentral:rRNA from 1 species